UACGUAGGGUCCGAGCGUUGUCCGGAAUUACUGGGCGUAAAGAGCUCGUAGGCGGUUUGUCGCGUUGUUCGUGAAAACUCACAGCUCAACUGUGGGCGUGCGGGCGAUACGGGCAGACUGGAGUACUGCAGGGGAGACUGGAAUUCCUGGUGUAGCGGUGGAAUGCGCAGAUAUCAGGAGGAACACCGGUGGCGAAGGCGGGUCUCUGGGCAGUAACUGACGCUGAGGAGCGAAAGCGUGGGGAGCGAACAGG
rnacentral:rRNA from 1 species